ACAACUGCUGCCCACAUUUAGGAAGAAAAAUCAGCGUCCACAUUUGAUUUUGAGGAAGAAAAUAAUGUUCGCCUUUGGCUUAAAAAUAGCGUUAUUUUACAAUGGAUCUGCUCCUAGGAUAAAUUCUCUAGGAGCCUCUUCCUCUUUCGGGCUUUCCUUUAUCCUUUACAGAGGGGUCAGCUGAGUGUUGGCAUUCCAUUACGACAACCCCAGAGCAGGCUAUUAUUGUCAGCUCUCUAGAUGCUGUGAUGCUAAACCCAGAUGAAGAGUCACCAGGUGGGGGGCAAGGCUUUACUUGGUUCUCCAGUGGAGAAGUUUGGUACAUUUGGACUCUGGACAGCUUCACACAGACGGUUGCUGCUUUCUUUGCCACUGCAUUUUAAAAAGUCAAGCCAGGCUUGGUGGCUCACUUGCUCUCCCUGCUGUCUGCCAAUCCAGAUAUAGGACUCUUCUCCUUCUCCAGCACCAUGUCUGUCUGUACCACCAUGCUUCCAGGCAUGGCGAUAAUGGGCUGAACCUCUGAACCUGUAAACCUACCCACAAUUAAAUGUUGUCCUUAAUAAGA